GAGGUUGGAGUCAAAUCAUGGGCCAUGUCCAUUGGCACAGACACUGGGGAACCACAGAAGGUUCCGAGCAAGAACAAAACAUGUACCUAAGCAUUAGGAAGAUAUUAGGGGGAGAAGAAGUUGGUUUCAUCUUAAAAGAUCUGCUGCCUUCUUGUUGGUUACAUAGAUGCCCUAUGCAAGGCACUGCCCACCCAGAAAGAGAAGCAAGAAAUCAAACUAAGUGACCGUGGUUUCCUUUAUGACUCAGCUGUGAGUGCUGUUCUCUGCGGCAGAAGACCUUUCCUGGUGCUCUCAGCUGCUAGCGCCUUCCCAUCAAAGCUCCUGCCAAGAAGCAAGAAUUUGGCUUUGCACAAGAGACAAACAAGGAAAAAAUCACAUUCUGGUGUCUAAAUGGAUAGACCAGAUAAGAGCUUUGGAUUUUUUUGGCUUCACUGUAUUUCAAAUACCUGAGUGUGGCACGAGUAUCUGGUUCCAGCUGGGAAAAGGAGUGGCCAUUUCCAGUUCCUGCCAUCAAGAAGGACUGCUCAGGAGAAGAUGGACAUGAGACAAUGGACAGUUCAUGUGGCAGACGGUCAUGGCUCCAAGCUGGCUGCCUGAAGCCCAUCAAGCACAUGCCAAAAAAUACAAAUACACCUGCU